GGCGGGUUAGCUCAGCUUUUUAGAGCGUGGUGCUAAUAACGCCAAGGUCGCCGGUUCGAUCCCCAUACUGGCCA
rnacentral:tRNA from 1 species